GGUCCCGUAGCUCAGCAGGAUAGAGCAUCAGAUUCCUAAUCUGGGGGUCGCGCGUUCGAAUCGCGCCGGGAUCACCA
rnacentral:tRNA from 45 species